rnacentral:rRNA from 1 species
GAUGAACGCUGGCGGCGUGCUUAACACAUGCAAGUCGAACGGAAAGGCUCCUGCUUGCAGGGGUACUCGAGUGGCGAACGGGUGAGUAACACGUGGGUGAUCUGCCCUGCACUUCGGGAUAAGCCUGGGAAACUGGGUCUAAUACCGGAUAGGACGAUGGUUUGGAUGCCAUUGUGGAAAGUUUUUUCGGUGUGGGAUGAGCUCGCGGCCUAUCAGCUUGUUGGUGGGGUAAUGGCCUACCAAGGCGCCGACGGGUAGCCGGCCUGAGAGGGUGUACGGCCACAUUGGGACUGAGAUACGGCCCAGACUCCUACGGGAGGCAGCAGUGGGGAAUAUUGCACAAUGGGCGCAAGCCUGAUGCAGCGACGCCGCGUGGGGGAUGACGGCCUUCGGGUUGUAAACUCCUUUCGCUAGGGACGAAGCGCAAGUGACGGUACCUGGAGAAGAAGCACCGGCUAACUACGUG